rnacentral:rRNA from 1 species
UACGGGGGGAGCAAGCGUUGUUCGGAAUUACUGGGCGUAAAGCGCACGUAGGCGGCUUUGUAAGUUAGAGGUGAAAGCCCAGGGCUCAACCCUGGAAUUGCCUUUAAGACUGCAUCGCUUGAACAUCGGAGAGGUAAGUGGAAUUCCGAGUGUAGAGGUGAAAUUCGUAGAUAUUCGGAAGAACACCAGUGGCGAAGGCGACUUACUGGACGAUUGUUGACGCUGAGGUGCGAAAGCGUGGGGAGCAAACAGG